rnacentral:rRNA from 1 species
UCGUGUAUUAACCGAGAAACUGCAGAUGGCUCAUUAGAUCAGUUAUGGUUCAUUGGAGCCAGUUCACGACCAUGGAUAACUGUGGUAAUUCUAGAGCUAAUACAUGCAUCUAAGCGCCGACCCUUCGGGGGAAGCGUGCUUUUAUUAGGAACAAGGCCAGCCCGGUGUCUCGCUUCGGCGGGCCCGGUCUCCGCUGGUGAACUCUAGAUAACCCAGCCGAUCGCACGGUCUCGCACCGGCGACGCUCCCUUCAAAUGUCUGCUCUAUCAACUGUCGAUGGUACGUUAUGCGCUUAUCAUGGUAGUGACGGGUAACGGAGAAUCAGGGUUCGAUUCCGGAGAGGGAGCCUGAGAAACGGCUACCACAUCCAAGGAAGGCAGCAGGCACGCAAAUUACCCACUCCUGACACGGGGAGGUAGUGACAAAAAAUAACGAUACAGGCCUCUUCGGAGGCCCUGUGAUCGGAAUGAGUACACUUUAAAUCCUUUAACGAGGAUCUACUGGAGGGCAAGUCUGGUGCCAGCAGCCGCGGUAAUUCCAGCUCCAGCAGCGUAUAUUAAAUUUGCUGCAGUUAAAAAGCUCGUAGUCGGAUGUCUGGUCGGGGCGGGUGGUCCGCCGCGAGGCGAGCACUGCCCGUUCCCGUGUGCCGUCCCUCUGUUCGGCGUCCUCGUCGGCGGAGCGGGCGGGCGGGAGUUUGAUCCCGGCCAGUCCUCCGGUUGGUCGUGCGGUGCUCUUAGCUGAGUGCCGUGCGAGACUGGAACGUUUACUUUGAGAAAAUUGGAGUGUUCAAAGCAGGCCCAAGUGCCCGAACAGCUCAGCAUGGAAUAGUGGAACAGGACCUCGGUUCUAUUUCGUUGGUCUUUAGAUCCAGAGGUAAUGAUCAAGAGGGACUGCCGGGGGCAUUCGUAUUGCGGCGUGAGAGGUGAAAUUCUUGGAUCGUCGCAAGACGCCCGACAGCGAAAGCAUUUGCCAAGAAUGUCUUCAUUGAUCAAGAACGAAAGUCGGAGGAUCGAAGGCGAUCAGAUACCGCCCUAGUUCCGACCAUAAACGAUACCAACUCGUAAUUCGCCGGCGUUCCUCCCAUGACGCGGCGGGCAACUCUCCGGAAAACCAAAGUCUUUGGUUCCGGGGAA